AGAAUCAACGCUGGCGGCGUGCCUAACACAUGCAAGUCGAACGAGAAAGUGGAGCAAUCCAUGAGUAAAGUGGCGACCGGGUGAGUAACACGUGACUAACCUACCUUCGAGUGGGGGAUAACCUCGGGAAACCGAGGCUAAUACCGCAUAACAUCGCAAGAUCAAAGCAGCAAUGCGCUGGAAGAGGGGGUCGCGGCUGAUUAGCUAGUUGGCGGGGUAAUGGCCCACCAAGGCGAAGAUCGGUAGCCAGCCUGAGAGGGCGCACGGCCACACUGGAACUGAAACACGGUCCAGACUCCUACGGGAGGCAGCAGUGGGGAAUUUUGCGCAAUGGGGGAAACCCUGACGCAGCAACGCCGCGUGGAGGAUGAAGCCCCUUGGGGUGUAAACUCCUUUCGACCAAGACGAUAAUGACGGUACUGGUGGAAGAAGCACCGGCUAACUCUGCGCCAGCAGCCGC
rnacentral:rRNA from 1 species